rnacentral:rRNA from 1 species
UACAGAGGAGCCAAGCGUUGUCCGGAUUGACUGGGCGUAAAGCGCACGCAGGCGGACGCGCGCGUGGGGUGUGAAAUCUGGCCGCUUAACGGCCAGGGGCCAUCCCAUACGGCGGGUCUGGAGCGAUGCAGAGGUCGGUGGAAUUCCCUGUGUAGCGGUGAAAUGCGUAGAGAUGGGGGAGAACACUCGUGGCGAAGGCGGCCAGCUAGACCAGUUCUGACACUGAGGCGCGACAGCGUGGGGAGCAAACAGG